rnacentral:tRNA from 1 species
GGAGCGUUGGCAGAGUGGUAAUGCAGCAGAUUGCUAAUCUGUGACGGAGAAUAUUCGUCCAUAGGUUCGAGUCCUAUACGCUCCGCCA